UAGUCUUAUAAUUCAAGACUGGAAUGAAUGGUUCAACCAAAGUAAAUUUGUCUUUUAGUAAUAUUUUGAAUUUUAUAUUUUAGUGAUAAAGCUAAAAUUANAUAUGAGGGACGAGAAGACCCUAUCAAGUUUUACAAAUUNUANNNUAUUAUUUUUNAUUUUNAAUAAAUUAUNUUGNUUUAGCUGGGGCAGUUAAUAGAAUAAAUUCUAUUUUUUUAUUGUNNAAUUUUAAAUUUCGUUUUACCCUGNAAUUUUGGAAUUAAAAAUAAAUUACUGUAGGGAUAACAGCAUAAUUUUUUUAUAGAGUCCUUAUCAUAAAAGAAGUUUGUGACCUCGAUGUUGGAUUAAGAGACCCGUUUAACGCAAAAGUUAAAUUAGGAAGU
rnacentral:rRNA from 1 species